GACGAACGCUGGCGGCGUGCUUAACACAUGCAAGUCGAACGGUGACCCACCUUCGGGUGGCGAUCAGUGGCGAACGGGUGAGUAACACGUGGGCAACCUGCCCCUGACUCUGGGAUAACUCCUCGAAAGAGGUGCUAAUACCGGAUACCACCUCCCUCGGCAUCGGGGGUGGUUGAAAGUUCUUCGGUCAGGGAUGGGCCCGCGGCCUAUCAGCUAGUUGGUGAGGUAACGGCCCACCAAGGCGACGACGGGUAGCCGGCCUGAGAGGGCGACCGGCCACACUGGGACUGAGACACGGCCCAGACUACUACGGGAGGCAGCAGUGGGGAAUAUUGCGCAAUGGGCGAAAGCCUGACGCAGCAACGCCGCGUGAGGGAUGACGGCCUUCGGGUUGUAAACCUCUUUCAGCAGGGACGAAGCGAAAGUGACUGUACCUGCAGAAGAAGCGCCGGCUAACUACGUGCCAGCGGCCGCGGUAACAC
rnacentral:rRNA from 1 species